rnacentral:lncRNA from 1 species
CUUGGGAUUGGCUGGGUUGUCAAACUGUUGGAGCAUGUAUGAGUCAGGAGUGUUCUUCAAGAUCUCUUCAGCCUUCUGAAUAGCUCCAGUCAUACCCUUUGCAGGUUCAGUCAACACAAGCUCAGCUCCAAACGCCCUCAAAAGAACCCUUCUUUCCAAACUCAUGGACGCUGGCAUAGUUAAAAUAAGCUUAUACCCUUUUGAAGCAGCAAUAAACGCAAGUCCAAUCCCUGUGUUUCCACUUGUAGAUUCCACAAGAACACUCUAGCAAAUUUGCAGCAACCAAAAAUAAAUAAAUAAAUAAAUCAGAGAACUUACUUAUAACACCACCAAGAAUAAUGAAUUGAGUUUUUUUUCACAAUACCUUUCCAGGUGUGAUAAGUCCUUUUUCCUCAGCAUCUGUAAUCAUACUAUACCCAAUCCUGAAACCACAAAAGCAACAGAAGCUCAGAAUAAACAUAUGUGAAGAUACUACCAAAUGGGUUACACAACAAACCUAUCCUUGACACUGCAACAAGGCUCCAUGAUCUCAAGCUUAGCAGCAACACUUGCAACACAACCUUUAACUAUAUUGUUCAAGUACACCAUUGGAGUUUUCCCAAUAAGCUGAAUCAAUUCAUAGGGCAUUGAGAGAGGCAAACAAACAAAGAUUAGACAAAGAAGUCAAAGUCACACACUUUAUGCUCAAAGUAAGAAACUUUAUCACCAAUCUAUAACCUGAGCGGCGUUCUCGGCGAUAUUGAGACCUUCAACCCCAGGCUUGACGGACACAGCCUUGCACACAACACGGCUACUACACCUCUGGCUCUUGAGGGAGAGAGGAGCCGGGAGAACAUCGAAAGCAGCCGCCUUUCUGGAGGAUAAGGAGAGAGAAGAUAGCUCAGGGGAGUAUUUGAGAGGACGGUGGCGAGAAGUCAACGGAUUAAGGAGAAAAGCAGAGGAAGAUGUCGCAGCAGCCAUGAUCGAUACAGAGAGAGAGAGAGAGAGAGAGAGAGAGAGAUGCUUCCUUCUUCCUCCUUUGUGGUUGGUUACAACUUACAAGAGACACUGAUUAGAUCCUACUGUUAGCUCCUAAACGACGUCGCUUGAUUCUCCCUUAUGGUUAAAAACGUAAAAAAAAAAAAACGCAGAGAGGGUCAGAGCUUCAUCAUCUUCGCAGUUCAAGUAACCAAACUGAAUAGAUGUUAUGAAGUGUUUGUAAGAAACGUAUAUGUGAGAGAUGAAGUUGCGUCCCUUCUCGUCCCAUUCAGUGUCAGCUGUCUCCUCACCAUCAGAGUCGUAUGGCUCGUCAUAUGUCGCUCUUGUUCCCACUGAUCCUGCUCUUAUCAUUUCUCUAGAAGAAGCAGAUACCAUAGUUUCGAAGGAAUAGAAAAUGGCAUACCAAGAAAGGUCAUAUUUAUAAGAUACUCAAAAGACUCGUCAUGCAUUUGAAGUUAUGGGGUUCAAUGGGAGCAAGCUACACAAGUUUCAAGAUACAUUAACUAUACAGUACAACGAAUACGAACAGUUUCAGAUUUUUGAAAAUUCAUAAUUAUAUCAAGGGACAGUUAUGGCUUUUGUAUUUAUUAAUAAAACACCAACUGCGUUGCACAUUUCACAUUGCAAAUAUACAGUAGACGAAGAGAUUUUGUUUGCAGAGACGUCUUUAAUGAGAAACUAGAAAGAAACGAAAGAAGAGGUUCCUUGUUGGUCAAGAAAUUACAGAGGAGAGAUUCAAAGCUCAGGCUGCAUAUUCUCGCACUCAUCUCGGAUAGACUGAAAGAGCAGGGUCGAGAGGUAACGUUCCCCAAAGCUCGGGAACACAACCUGGAAACAAAGAUUGAUCCAUCAACACACAGAUCAUACUUCUGCCAAACAUGUGAAUCUAUUACUCACUAUUUUAAUCAAGCCUAGCUAAAAAGAUUAAGUAAAUAACUCUAGAACUAAUUUAAUUAUUCGGUGGAUUGUCACAGAUGCAGGACAAGGGAAUCGUUCUGACUAAAAGCUAAUAAAUCAAUUCCAAUCACCAAGAGACGAUGAAAAGCAUAGAUGAGAGUUUGAGGACUUACAGCUAUGAGUUUUCCGGCAUUUUCAGGUCUCUUUGCCACCUGGAUUGCAGCAGCAGCAGCAGCUCCAGAAGAUAUACCAACCUACACAAAGUCAUAAUAGUUCAAUAAUCAUCACACAUUUCUCAUACCAUUCAAUUCAUUUCUCCUUUAAAGACUGUUCCCACUCAUAAAUAUGCUAAACAGAAAAGAAAAAGACUAACCAACAAGCCUUCUUGGAGAGCUAGUUGCUUUGCAAAUUCAAUAGCUUCCUCACUCGAAAUCUGAUAACAAGCAAGGCAGCAGGUUAAGUUUGAAUCUCAAGACCCUAAAAACAUUCUAUCCUACUCUUUCACAGGUCUUUCCCAAAUUGGAACCACAAGACAGUAUGUUCUUGAGAGAACCAAACAAACAGAUCAUACCGCUAUGUAUUCAUCUACAACAGUCUGAUCCAAAUUCUUAGGAAUAAAUCCAGCUCCAAUCCCUUGAAUCUUGUGAGGUCCUGCAUUUCAAAACACAAGACAAAUCAACUUCAACUUCAGAGAAUAAUGUGGCAGGGAUCCAAGGAAACAAUUAUCAAUCCCUUACCAGGUUUUCCUCCAGAAAGUAUAGCACUUUCCGUGGGUUCAACACCAAUGACCUGGUACACAUAAACAUCAACUAGAUUAAACAAACCUAUCUCUAACUAUAAGAUUCAGUAAGCCCCUAGGCUAUCUACAUACCUUCAGUUCAGGUUUCCUUUCCUUAAUGUAUCGGCCAACACCAGUGAUGGUUCCACCAGUCCCAAUUCCCGCAACCAAUAUAUCCACCUUCCCUCUUGUAUCUUCCCAAAUCUCAGGACCAGUAGUCUCGUAAUGAAUCUGCAUAUCUUUAAUAUUAAAAACACUAACAGAUACCUUGCAGCUUAUGCAGAAGAGUUUCUUUAUUUUCUCUAACUAGCUCUUUAUAGUGGAGAACUAGAGAUAACACUAGCUCAUGAUUCAUGUCACAGUUAGAGAGUAAAAAAAAAGGAAAAAGAAGUAACCCACAGACCUUGGGAUUGGCUGGGUUGUCAAACUGUUGGAGCAUGUAGGAGUCAGGAGUGUUCUUCAAGAUUUCUUCAGCCUUCUGAAUAGCUCCAGUCAUACCCUUUGCAGGUUCAGUCAACACAAGCUCAGCUCCAAACGCCCUCAAAAGAACCCGUCUUUCCAAACUCAUGGACGCUGGCAUAGUCAAGAUAAGCUUAUACCCUUUUGAAGCAGCAAUAAACGCAAGUCCAAUCCCUGUGUUUCCACUUGUCGAUUCC